UGAACGCUAGCGGCAGGCUUAAUACAUGCAAGUCGUGGGGCAGCGCAGUGUAGCAAUACAUGGGCGGCGACCGGCAAACGGGUGCGGAACACGUACACAACCUUCCUACAAGUGGGGAAUAGCCCAGAGAAAUUUGGAUUAAUACCCCGUAACAUAUAAAGAUGGCAUCAUUUUUAUAUUAUAGCUACGGCGCUUGUUGAUGGGUGUGCGGCUGAUUAGGUAGUUGGCGGGGUAAUGGCCCACCAAGCCUGCGAUCAGUAGCUGAUGUGAGAGCAUGAUCAGCCACACGGGCACUGAGACACGGGUCCGACUCCUACGGGAGGCAGCAGUAAGGAAUAUUGGACAAUGGGCGCAAGCCUGAUCCAGCCAUGCCGCGUGAAGGAUUAAGGUCCUCUGGAUUGUAAACUUCUUUUAUAAGGGACGAAAAAAGGGAAUUCUUUCUCACUUGACGGUACCUUAUGAAUAAGCACCGGCUAACUCC
rnacentral:rRNA from 1 species